rnacentral:rRNA from 1 species
UACGGAGGGUGCAAGCGUUGUCCGGAUUUAUUGGGUUUAAAGGGUGCGUAGGCGGCCAUUUAAGUCUGGGGUGAAAGCCCGUUGCUCAACAACGGAACUGCCCUGGAAACUGGAUGGCUUGAGUACAGACGAGGGUGGCGGAAUGGAUGCUGUAGCGGGGAAAUGCAUAGAUAGCAUCCAGAACCCCGAUUGCGAAGGCAGCUGCCUAGACUGUAACUGACGCUGAGGCACGAAAGCGUGGGGAGCGAACAGG